rnacentral:lncRNA from 1 species
GCAUAUAUGCCAUGGAAUACUAUGCAGCAAUUAAAAAAGAAUGAAAUUCCGUAAUUUGUGGCCAUGUGGAUGAGCUCAGAGGAUAUUAUGUUAAGUGAAAUAAGCCAGGCACAGAAAGAUAAAUACCAUGUUUCCUCACUCACAUGUGGAAGCCAAACAAGCUGAUCUCAUAGAAAUACAGGAAUACCUUGUUUUAUUCAUCUUUGCUUUAUUGCAUUUUGCGGAUUUUUUUUUAACAAACUGAAGGUAAUUGUGAAUUAUGUUUAUCUUCAAAAGUACCAAUAAAAUCAUAUACAAAAGUCAGAAGAACAAGAUGUCAGCGUUGGUUUUGUUGUUGUUUUUUUUUCAUAUGCUAGAGAAGGAAAAGAUUUCCUUAAUCAGGAGUAACUUCUUAUUUUGUAAAAUGGGACAGAUAUUCGUAUUCUGAAGUGGACAAUCCUCAACUGGCAGCCCCUUCAAGGAUUGCCUCAGCUGCAGACAGCUGAUCUGUUCAAAGUUCACAUCCCUUCCUAGAUGAAACUCACAUCUAAUGACCAAUGCAGGCACAUAAAUAUCUGGACACUUCAACUCACGAGUGUCAACUUACAACUCUGCAAGGCUAUUCCAUCUUCAGAGCUCCUUGUAUAUACUUCUAGAUGUGCAUCACCACUGGGUUUCUUCCUCUGAGUAGUUCUUCUUUCUCCUUCCUUCCAUAAAUAUUGAACCCAAGUAUUGAACUCCUUAAUAAGUAACCUGCACACUGAACUCCAACUCAGUCUGCUUCCAAGAAAACCCAACCUGUGACACCAUCACACUGGUUAUUUCUUUGAGACAGGCUGCUCUUUGACCUAUCCUCCUGGUGAAUACCUAAUGAUCCCCUAAGAAUCAAAACAAGCAUAACUUCUUCUGUUACCCUUUCCUUGAAUUUUCUCUUUCACUCCACCCCAACCAGUGUAGUUCAUAAUUACAUAAUCCUUUUGUGCUGCCAUUAUGUUUUGUAGAAAAUUAGAAAAUCCUGCCAAUACAGUAAUAACAAAAUAUUAUAUUAUUCAUUUAUCUGCCUGUAUCUCUUAAUUAGACCUUGUGCUUCUUCAUAUGAGAAUCUACGUCUCACAUGUCUUUCUAUCCCUACAAUAUAGCACAGUUACUGGCCCAUUAUAGGGCACAAUGACUAUUCAUAGGAUUACAAAUUUCAGUGGAGAAUGGGGAAUGAUGUUAUAGGUGGAAUGGAUAACUUAUAAAAAGGUAUCAAGUCAUGGCAAUGCAUUAUGUAUUAAUAUAUCAGUUAACAGUCUUUCAUUCAACAAAUAUUUUUGAGUACCUACUAUACAACAAUCACAUUUUGUAUGGGGCAACAUGAGAUGAACAAGACAGAUAUAGCCUCAGCCCUUAUAAUUGAUCAAAGAAGACAGAUAUCGAAUAAGUUAUUAAAAUAGUUAUAAGUAUUAAGAAGGAGAAGUACAGGGAAUUAUGUGAUUACAUAGCAGGACGGUCUGAUCUACUCUAGAAGGCUUAAAAGAAGACUUAACAGAAUAAUUAU